AUUGAACGCUGGCGGCAUGCCUUACACAUGCAAGUCGAACGGUAACAGGUCUUCGGACGCUGACGAGUGGCGAACGGGUGAGUAAUACAUCGGAACGUGCCCGAUCGUGGGGGAUAACGAGGCGAAAGCUUUGCUAAUACCGCAUACGAUCUACGGAUGAAAGCGGGGGAUCUUCGGACCUCGCGCGGACGGAGCGGCCGAUGGCAGAUUAGGUAGUUGGUGGGAUAAAAGCUUACCAAGCCGACGAUCUGUAGCUGGUCUGAGAGGAUGAUCAGCCACACUGGGACUGAGACACGGCCCAGACUCCUACGGGAGGCAGCAGUGGGGAAUUUUGGACAAUGGGCGAAAGCCUGAUCCAGCCAUGCCGCGUGCAGGAUGAAGGCCUUCGGGUUGUAAACUGCUUUUGUACGGAACGAAAAGCCUCUUUCUAAUAAAGAGGGGUCAUGACGGUACCGUAAGAAUAAGCACCGGCUAACUACGUGCCAGCAGCCGCGGUAAUACGUAGGGUGCAAGCGUUAAUCGGAAUUACUGGGCGUAAAGCGUGCGCAGGCGGUUUUGUAAGACAGAGGUGAAAUCCCCGGGCUCAACCUGGGAACUGCCUUUGUGACUGCAAGGCUGGAGUGCGGCAGAGGGGGAUGGAAUUCCGCGUGUAGCAGUGAAAUGCGUAGAUAUGCGGAGGAACACCGAUGGCGAAGGCAAUCCCCUGGGCCUGCACUGACGCUCAUGCACGAAAGCGUGGGGAGCAAACAGG
rnacentral:rRNA from 1 species